rnacentral:rRNA from 1 species
GAUGAACGCUAGCGGGAGGCUUAAUACAUGCAAGUCGAGGGGUAACAGGGGCUUCGGCCCGCUGACGACCGGCGCACGGGUGAGUAACGCGUACGCAACUUACCUCCAAGCGAGGGAUAGCCCUGGGAAACUGGGAUUAAUACCUCAUGUGAUUAUGAUGCCGCAUGGUGUUAUAAUUAAAGUUCAGGCGCUUGGAGAUGGGCGUGCGUCCUAUUAGCUAGUUGGUGAGGUAACGGCUCACCAAGGCGACGAUAGGUAGGGGCGUGAGAGCGUGGCCCCCACACGGGUACUGAGACACGGACCGACUCCUACGGGAGGCAGCAGUAAGGAAUCUUCCGCAAUGGACGAAAGUCUAACGGAGCAACGCCGCGUGAGUGAUGAAGGUUUUCGGAUCGUAAAACUCUGUUGUUAGGGAAGAACAAGUGCCGUUCGAAAGGGCGGCACCUUGACGGUACCUAACGAGAAAGCCACGGCUAACUACGUGCCAGCAGCCGCGGUUAAAGUCUAGCAUG